GAUGAACGCUAGCGGCAGGCUUAACACAUGCAAGUCGAGGGGUAUAGGGAGCUUGCUUCCUAGAGACCGGCGCACGGGUGCGUAACGCGUAUGCAAUCUACCUUUCACAGAGGAUAGCCCAGAGAAAUUUGGAUUAAUACCUCAUAGUAUAGCAGUUUCGCAUGAAACCACUAUUAAAGUCACAACGGUGAAAGAUGAGCAUGCGUCCCAUUAGCUAGUUGGUAAGGUAACGGCUUACCAAGGCUACGAUGGGUAGGGGUCCUGAGAGGGAGAUCCCCCCACACUGGUACUGAGACACGGACCAGACUCCUAUGGGAGGCAGCAGUGAGGAAUAUUGGACAAUGGGCGCAAGCCUGAUCCAGCCAUGCCGCGUGCAGGAUGACGGGUCCUAAUGG
rnacentral:rRNA from 1 species